rnacentral:rRNA from 1 species
UACAGAGGGUGCGAGCGUUUAAUCGGAUUUACUGGGCGUAAAGCGUGUGUAGGUGGUCAGGAAAGUCGGUUGUGAAAUCCCCGGGCUCAACUCGGGAACUGCUUCCGAUACUUCUUGACUCGAAUUCGGUAGAGGGAGGCGGAACUCCAGGUGUAGCGGUGAAAUGCGUAGAUAUCUGGAAGAACACCAAUGGCGAAGGCAACCUCCUGGGCCUGAAUUGACACUGAGACACGAAAGCGUGGGGAUCAAACAGG